GCAACUAUUGGUCAGGUCCUGGUGAUUUCUCAGAUCUCGAGGUCGAGCGAAGGGAAAGAAAAGGCUGGAAGGUGAAGAUACAUGAUCUUUCUGGCUCGGCUGUUGCAGCAGCCUUCAUAACCACUCCCUUUGUGCCAUCAACAGGUUGCGAUUGGGUUGCCAGGUCGAACCCCGGUUCCUGGCUGAUUGUUCGUCCGGAUGUUUGCAUACCUGAAAGUUGGCAGCCAUGGGGAAAGCUCGAGGCAUGGCGUGAGCGUGGGAUUAGAGACACUGUUUGCUGUCGCUUUCACCUUCUCUCCGAAGCCCAAGAGGGAGGGGAACUUCUCAUGUCUGAG
rnacentral:misc_RNA from 1 species